AGUAGUAAAAACCUUUGAAAGUAUUACAAUUAUGAAUGGUGUGUGUGUCUGUUGUGUGUGUGUGUGUGUGUGUGUGUGUGAGAGAGAGAGAG